rnacentral:lncRNA from 1 species
CAAAAAUAUACGAAAGCUGAUUUACGCUCGUCCUAAGCUAAAAAAAACUCUGCUAUUAUCAUUUCUUGCCUAACAGUACGACAGGUUAGAAGACAAGUUAACAGUGGACAACGCUAGCGGAAGCAGGUCCGUUUCGGUAUGUUGUCCCUUGGAAACGCAAGCUCAUGUGUAAUUGUUCCUACUUACAAGAUACAUAUUUCAUUCUAUGGGUACGUGAUUUGACUUCUAAAAAGUCCAAGCAGUCACUUUAAAAUACUACAUGAAAAGAAAACAUCUCCCCCACUUGCACUUUAUUCAAUGCAACAGGUAGUAACCUGGAGCAUAAUCAUGAAUUUCUGCCAGGCACUGUUAACUCUGGAAAGCAAGAUCAUUUUUGUAUGUUGGUCUGAGCUGAUAGUGUGCUGACAAAUAUCUAAAACACUAGGAUGGAUUUAAAUCAGUUUCUUUGUCUAGUUUUGAAAAAAAAACUAUUUUCCACUGGUUUAUUGUUUUUUAACAGGGUACUUUGAUCAAACUCCGUUUUUGCUCAUAAGAGAAACGAGAAAACGAAUGUGCUUUGUAUUUGAUCUUCUGGACAACUUAAUCAGAGGACGGCUUAAUUUCUGUCGAUGUCCUCUGGAAAGAAAAAUAUCAAUCCAUUAUUUAAAUUGCGCGUGAGCCCCGACUUCCUGCCGUCCGUUUCAAAAUAAGAGUCUCGCUAUCUUAAGCGUCCAACUUCCCUCCCUCCCUGUGUCCCUCUCUCUUUUUGUCCUCUGUGCCUUCCUUAGGAAAAUUGAUCAUCACCGGUCGAAGAAUACCAGAGCUGAUGGAGCGUACGGGCAGACUCCUGAUGACAGGUGCAGCUGUGGAGGCUGGAAAACUAUUUCCAGGGUUUCCUUGACGACAGGGACCAGAUAACGACCACAGGACGUGGAGAGAUAGAGAUGUCAUUCCGUGGCUCAGUGCACCUGCACUGCUUUGCUCCCUCCAGCGCAGACGACGAGGAGCCUCCGGAUAUCAACCACAAAGAGGAAGAAUUAGUUUCAUAGAUAAUCUAGAACAUCUGAUACAAGCCGCAAUAAAUCAAUUUAAUGUUAAACGCAUACUUUUUUGUAUUGCUUCAAGUGCCACUGAGAUUAUGAUUGUGUUGGUAAAAUGGUAAAAAUGCUUUUACUUAGGAUGUAACAUCUGCUCAAUAACACGCUCAGGUCAGAGCAGUGUUGUAACACUAAUCAUGAUGUGCAUUUGUUCACAUCAACUUCUUUCUUACUUUGCUUCACUACAUACAUCAAUUUAAGAAAUAAACUUGUAAAAUUAGUGCGUUGUUCA